ACCACAACUUCCUACUCUCUCUCUCUCCAAAAUCGUUCAAGGCCAAACACCCUCAUACUUCACCUUCUUUCAUAAUCCAAACUCAAGAACACAUGCAAAUAUGAAGGUUUAUGAAUAAAACAAGAUAUUUGUGAGAUUAAGGAAUCUAUUCGAAGCAUUUUUGGUGGAACUAGAAGCCCUAGAUCAUCAAGAUUUUUCUUAUCUUCAUCCUUAUUUCCUAGCAAAAAUUGUCGAGAAACGAACCGCGAACAAGGAAUCGAAUAGAGAUUUGCACGGAACGCAAAUCUGUCGAGAAACGAACCGCGAACAAGGAAUCGAAUAGAGAUUUGCACGGAACGCAAAUCUGAGAUUAGUGGACGGCUUUGGGAAAAUAUGUUCAAGUGGUUAUCAAGAACGCAAGCUUUUGUGAUGUCAUCCGUUUUUAGUGUUAUGUUUUGAACUUUGAAUAAUGUAGUUAAAGUUGGUGUUGUUUCAAGUUUCAAACAAGACAUAUGUAAUGUAAACUAUGGUUUCGAAUCAAUUGUAUGGAUGAACAUCUUUUAUGUUUCAAAUAUGUUGUUUACUCGAUUGAUUGUAACGAUUGCCGCUCUCGUCACACCUCGCCAUACGCUUCCGCAUAAA